AAUCUUCCGCAAUGGACGCAAGUCUGACGGAGCAACGCCGCGUGGGUGAUGAAGGUUUUCGGAUUGUAAAGCCCUGUCUGGAGGGAAGAAAUAAUGACGGUACCUCCGGAGGAAGCCCCGGCUAACUACGUGCCAGCAGCCGCGGUAAUACGUAGGGGGCAAGCGUUGUCCGGAAUUACUGGGCGUAAAGAGCACGUAGGCGGCUUUUUAAGUCAGGUGUGAAAUAUCCCGGCUCAACCGGGAGGGUGCACUUGAUACUGGGAAGCUAGAGUGCAGGAGAGGAAAGUGGAAUUCCUAGUGUAGCGGUGAAAUGCGUAGAUAUUAGGAGGAACACCAGUGGCGAAGGCGGCUUUCUGGACUGUAACUGACGCCGAGGUGCGAAAGCCAGGGGAGCAAACGGG
rnacentral:rRNA from 1 species